UGCGCAGGCGGUUAUAUAAGACAGAUGUGAAAUCCCCGGGCUCAACCUGGGAACUGCAUUUGUGACUGUAUAGCUAGAGUACGGCAGAGGGGGAUGGAAUUCCGCGUGUAGCAGUGAAAUGCGUAGAUAUGCGGAGGAACACCGAUGGCGAAGGCAAUCCCCUGGGCCUGUACUGACGCUCAUGCACAAAGCUGGGAGCAAACA
rnacentral:rRNA from 1 species